AACUCGAAGAACGUUACCUGGCCUUGACAUAGUAGAAACUUUCCAGAGAUGGAUUGGUGCCUUCGGGAAUCUACAUACAGGUGCUGCAUGGCCGUCGUCAGCUCGUGUCGUGAGAUGUUGGGUUAAGUCCCGCAACGAGCGCAACCCUUUUCCUUACUUGCCAGCAUUUCGGAUGGGAACUUUAAGGAUACUGCCAGUGACAAACUGGAGGAAGGCGGGGACGACGUCAAGUCAUCAUGGCCCUUACGGCCAGGGCUACACACGUGCUACAAUGGUCGGUACAAAGGGUUGCUACCUAGCGAUAGGAUGCUAAUCUCAAAAACCCGAUCGUAGUCCGGAUUGGAGUCUGCAACUCGACUCCAUGAAGUCGGAAUCGCUAGUAAUCGCGGAUCAGAAUGCCGCGGGAAUA
rnacentral:rRNA from 1 species